rnacentral:rRNA from 1 species
UGAGCAAUCUGCCCUUCACAUCGGAAUAACCAUUGGAAACGAUGGCUAAUACCGAAUAUGACUUCGGAUCGCAUGAUCUGAAGUGGAAAGCUCCGGCGGUGAAGGAUGAGCUCGCGGCCUAUCAGCUAGUUGGUGUGGGUAAUGGCCCACAAGGCGACGACGGGUAGCCGGCCUGAGAGGGUGACCCGGCCACACUGGGACUGAGACACGGCCCAGAUCCCGUAACGGGG